rnacentral:rRNA from 1 species
AUUGAACGCUGGCGGCAUGCUUUACACAUGCAAGUCGAACGGUAACAGCACUUCGGUGGCUGACGAGUGGCGAACGGGUGAGUAAUACAUCGGAACGUGCCUAGUAGUGGGGGAUAACUACUCGAAAGAGUAGCUAAUACCGCAUGAGAUCUAAGGAUGAAAGCAGGGGACCUUCGGGCCUUGCGCUACUAGAGCGGCUGAUGGCAGAUUAGGUAGUUGGUGGGAUAAAAGCUUACCAAGCCGACGAUCUGUAGCUGGUCUGAGAGGACGACCAGCCACACUGGGACUGAGACACGGCCCAGACUCCUGCGGGAGGCAGCAGUGGGGAAUUUUGGACAAUGGGCGCAAGCCUGAUCCAGCAAUGCCGCGUGCAGGAUGAAGGCCUUCGGGUUGUAAACUGCUUUUGUACGGAACGAAAAGCCCUCUUCUAAUACAGGAGGGUCAUGACGGUACCGUAAGAAUAAGCACCGGCUAACUACGUG